GGGGGUUUAGCUCAGCUGGGAGAGCAUCUGCCUUACAAGCAGAGGGUCAGCGGUUCGAACCCGUUAACCCCCA
rfam:Enterococcus sp. 8G7_MSG3316 scaffold00001, whole genome shotgun sequence.